UACGUAGGGUGCGAGCGUUGUCCGGAAUUAUUGGGCGUAAAGAGCUCGUAGGCGGUUUGUCGCGUCGGCUGUGAAAUCCCGAGGCUCAACCUCGGGCCUGCAGUCGAUACGGGCAAACUAGAGUGUGGUAGGGGAGACUGGAAUUCCUGGUGUAGCGGUGAAAUGCGCAGAUAUCAGGAGGAACACCGGUGGCGAAGGCGGAUCUCUGGGCCAUUACUGACGCUGAGGAGCGAAAGCGUGGGGAGCGAACAGG
rnacentral:rRNA from 1 species